UGCGAGUCAUAUGUUCUUCGUGAACAUGGCGUACUGCUCAGUAACACGUGGAUAACCUGCCCUUGGGACCGGGAUAACCCCGGGAAACUGGGGAUAAUACCGGAUAACGCAUAUCUGCUGGAAUGCUUUAUGCGUAAAAUGGAUUUGUCUGCCCAAGGAUGGGUCUGCGGCCUAUCAGGUAGUAGUGGGUGUAAUGUACCUACUAGCCUACGACGGGUACGGGUUGUGAGAGCAAGAGCCCGGAGAUGGAUUCUGAGACAUGAAUCCAGGCCCUACGGGGCGCAGCAGGCGCGAAAACUUUACAAUGCGGGAAACCGUGAUAAGGGGACACCGAGUGCCAGCAUCAUAUGUUGGCUGUCCAGAUGUGUAAAAUACAUCUGUUAGCUAGGGCCGGGCAAGACCGGUGCCAGCCGCCGCGGUAACACCGGCGGCCCGAGUGGUGAUCGUGAUUAUUGGGUCUAAAGGGUCCGUAGCCGGUUUGGUCAGUCCUCCGGGAAAUCUGACGGCUCAACCGUUAGGCUUUCGGUGGAUACUGCCAGACUUGGAACCGGGAGAGGUAAGAGGUACUACAGGGGUAGGAGUGAAAUCCUGUAAUCCCUGUGAGACCACCUGUGGCGAA
rnacentral:rRNA from 1 species